AUUGAACGCUGGCGGCAGGCCUAACACAUGCAAGUCGAACGAGUGGCGGACGGGUGAGUAACGUCUGGGAAACUGCCCGAUGGAGGGGGAUAACUACUGGAACCGGUAGCUAAUACCGCAUACCAUCGGAUGUGCCCAGAUGGGACUAGCUAGUAGGUGGGGUAACGGCUCACCUAGGCGACGAUCCCUAGCUGGUCUGACAGGAUGACCAGCCACACUGGAACUGAGAACCGGUCCAGACUCCUACGGGAGGCAGCAGUGGGGAAUAUUGCGCAAUGGGGGCAAGCCUGAUGCAGCCAUGCCGCGUGUAUGAAGAAGGCCUUCGGGUUGUAAAGUACUUUCAGCAGGGAGGCGUUACCCGCAGAAGAAGCACCGGCUAACUCCGUGCCAGCAGCCGCGGUGAUAC
rnacentral:rRNA from 1 species